UCUAUGUUUGUGUGCUAGAUGGAACUCUAAAGGUUCAGAUUAUGUAUUCUCUUCUUCCCUAGUUAAGAGGGAGUGUUGUUUGUAACUAGGGUAAUAUAUGGGUUCGGAUUUCCUUAAGGAAACAUCCGAACCCAUUUAGGACUAGGCCCUAUCCUAAAGGGUAAUGUGCACAUACAAGCAAGAGGUAACAUAUGUCAAUACUGAUAACAAAAGUUCUACCUUCUGAAACUCACAUUUACAUUGGAGUUUGACUUGAAUUAUCUGACUUUGAUUCCUUCAUACCCUGUGAAACCCCUCAAGUCACUAAAACACUUUUUGCACUUUUCCUGCAAAUCCACUGGCCACAUGGAAUGUGAUCAGCAAGAGAGUGGUGUUGAAGCCUUGCAUAUAAGCAAAUGGUAAAAAUGCCCAACGUAGUAAGAAGACUUACACUUACACAAUGUUUCCUGAAUUGCUUUACUGAUGUUUUCCUCUCAUGUCUUGUAGCCAACUCCAACCUCUAAGACAACAAACAACACCAUCUUCCAGACAUGCUCCACAAACUAGCCAUUCAAGCCACAGGGCAUUUACUUAGACAUUGGCGAUUGACUUGAGAUAACCCUUAAUUUUGGAGCAAGCUGAGCUUUUCAACAUGUACUUUGCAAGAUAAUACAACAUCUGGGAAUGCACAUUUCUUAUACAAGAAUACUUUACCAACUGUAAGUUCUAGAAAUGAAAUCUUCCUUUUGAACAUUAUGAUGUGGAGCACUCCUUCUGGGGUUUUAAUUGGGUUAUUUUCUCAGUAAGUAUACCAACUUAUCUCUAGGGUGCACGCGAAGUUCUAACAGAUAGUGUAAUUGUCAAGUAAAAGUUUAAAGAUGGGAGUGGACAGGGAGCUGCGGUCAAGAAAGAGGCAAACAACUAGAUGGGCAUGUGUACAUGUUCCUCCAGUGAACUCUCUACCACUCGACCAAGUGAUUUCUCUUGAAAGUCAAGUUCUCUCAAAAUUUGGUACAUGGGGGAUGCCUGCUUGCAAAACAGUUGUAAAUUAUUAGAGCCCAGUCCAUCUCCUAUUAUGAAAGCCUAGAAAAAUAGCGCACUUGUUUCUUCUGUAGAAAAUGGUUCUGAAGGAUUACUUCAUGUUGUACACCCUGAGGCAUUGAAUAAGAUUUAUACUAAGAUUGAAGAGGAUAACAUUGAUCUUGAAUAGUUAGAAAAAAAUGAAGGAAAAAGCUGCUGAGAGAGGUGGAACUAUUGAUCCUGGAUGGUAAGUACAAAUUUCCGAUAAGCAAUUGAAUGUAAGACUCAAUUCAAUGAGAAGUGUUGUAGGGCACUUAAAAGAUAGGCAAAUCUGGAAAGAAGAGAAACCAGGUACAAACUAUCUUUAGAAGUUACCACCUUUGUUGUAGCAGAGCAUGGACCAAAUAAGGGCUGCAACUCUAUUCUGUGGGUAUCUUUACCAUUGUUGCAAUGUUCAAAUAUGUGAAAUAUCAGCAUCUUUGAGGAAGGAUUUGCUGACCUAAAAUGUGGAAUUCAUAUUAUGUCA